UACGUAGGGUGCAAGCGUUGUCCGGAAUUAUUGGGCGUAAAGGGCUCGUAGGCGGUCCAUCGCGUCGGGAGUGAAAAGCUGGGGCUUAACCCCAGUCCUGCUUCCGAUACGGGUGGACUAGAGGUAGGUAGGGGAGAUCGGAAUUCCUGGUGUAGCGGUGAAAUGCGCAGAUAUCAGGAGGAACACCAAUGGCGAAGGCAGCUCGCUGGGACGGUACUGACGCUGAGACGCGAAAGCGUGGGGAGCAAACAGG
rnacentral:rRNA from 1 species